rnacentral:rRNA from 1 species
AGCAGCCGCGGUAAUUCCAGCUCCAAUAGCGUAUAUUAAAGUUGUUGCAGUUAAAAAGCUCGUAGUUGAAUUUCGGGGUUAGUAGGUUGGUCAUGCCUCUGGUAUGUACUGGUCUCACUGAUUCCUCCUUCCUUAUGAACCGUAAUGCCAUUAAUUUGGUGUUGCGAGGAAUUUGGACUGUUACUUUAGAAAAAAUUAGAGUGUUUAAAGCAAGCUAACGCUUGAAUACAUUAGCAUGGAAUAAUGAAAUAGGACGUUCGAUCUUAUUUUGUUGGUUUCUAGGAUUGACGUAAUGAUUAAUAGGGAUAGUUGGGGGCAUUAGUAUUCAAUUGUCAGAGGUGAAAUUCUUGGAUUUAUUGAAGACUAACUACUGCGAAAGCAUUUGCCAAGGAUGUUUUCAUUAAUCAAGAACGAAAGUUAGGGGAUCGAAGACGAUCAGAUACCGUCGUAGUCUUAACCAUAAACUAUGCCGACUAGGGAUCGGAUGAUGUUAAUUUUUAAUGACUCAUUCGGCGCCUUA